rnacentral:lncRNA from 1 species
GCAGACAGCGCGGGCUGGGAGCGCCGGCAAGGGCGGCCCUCGCGCACCUGGCUGCCAGCCCGCAGGGGGCUCGCACGCAGACCUGCCCUUGCCACCUCAGCGCUCGGGUGCGGGCUGGGGGCGGUGGAGCCACGAAAGGUGGUGCCGAGAGCGGAGCGCAGGACAGCGCAGGAGCCCCGGCGCAUCGCGGCGCGCACAGACCCAGGAUUUGUGAAGAGGUGACCCAAAUUUCAAGACAAUGUUGGAUGCAAACGGAUUUGCCAGCAACUGCAUCACUGUCAAAACCAGCUCUGCCCGUGUCUUCCGAAGAUACCAAGUGAAAUACAUGUAGAUGGGAUUUACAUCUGAAAAACCAAGGCAAGAGGCCAUGGGAAGGGACGGAGGUGGAACAGGACUGGACAGAAGCUGAUAAAUGGUUGUUGCUGAGUACUGGGCAGAUAGGGGUUGGUUAUCCUAUUGUCUUUACUUUCAUAUAUUUUAUUUUUUCUGUAAUAAAACAAAUUAAAAUCACCUGUCGUGACCUCACAGGGGCCAGUGUGGGUUGUGGCGUGAGGCAGGAAGCUCUGCAGAGUUCCUUGGUCAAAAGGAUUAAUUACAAAAGAACUCCAUGAACACCGAGAAGAAGAGAAGGGAAUCCUGGCAUUUAAAGCCACAAAGAAACUUGAUAUGGUCUUGUCUCCUUCUCUCAAUUGACAGUGAGAAACUGAAGACCAGAGAGGGUGAGUGGUUUACUCAGUUUGGCACAACUGACCCCAACCUAGCCCUCCAUGAGGACUGAGCGCAUGAGAGAUCCUGAGCCACAGCCGCCCAGCCCUGCUCCUCUCGAAUUUCUGACCUACAGGAACUGCAAGAAGUAAUGAAAGACUGCUGUUUAAAGCCACUGCAUUUUGGCAUGAUUUGUUAUGCAGUCGUAGAUAACCAGAAAACAUCGGAUUUACAUUUUAAGAUCGCCUCCACCCUGCUUCCCUUGUCCUCACACCACACUCCAGCCCAGGAACCAGCCAAGUAAAGGGAGUACCCUUUCUCUUUUAGAAGGUGGGGCAAGAGGAUGGUGGUGAACAUUUUCCUUCUUUCACACACACAUGCCUUGGCAUUGCGUUUGCCUGCAUGCAGCUAUGGCCUGCAGCCACUGAAGAAUGCUUGCAUAAGGAGCUCUUCUCUGCACAUACCCCGACACAGUGAUGGUAUCUUGCAGCUGCUGCUUCUGUCCAAGGCACUGCAGCCUACUCGUCAAAAGCCCGAAGCCCAGCUCUGCCAGCAGUGCACUGUGUGCUCUUAGGUAAUCGCCUGGCUUCAGGACAAUGGGACAGUAACAGCUAACACUGGGACGGAGGUGCUUAUCAUGUACCCAGAACUACUCUUAAGAGCAUUGCAUAUUUAGCCUUAUUUGCUUAAAACAACAUUUUGAGGUCAGUCACAUACUUUCUCCACUGUGUCUUUCUGAGUCACAGAGAGGUUAAGUAACUUGUGCAAGGUCACACUGCUCAGCAGAACUAAGACUCAAUCUUAGCAAUCCAGAUCUAGGUUAUUAUGAGGGUUAAAGGUAUCAGUGAGCAGAACGCACUUGGACCCAGUACACAGCAGGUGCUCAUUGAAGCUUAGCUCUUGUCAUCAUGACUUGCCUAAGGAAUUGGGAUAUGGCUGGUCUUGCUUAGGUGGGGAGGAAGGAGAACUGAAAAAUACAACCCACACUUAGAAAAGUCUAAGAUUCCAAUUUACUCUGCCAAAUUUUUGAAAGCUCUGGAUUCAUGGAAGAGGAGGAGGGAGAGCAGCUAAGAGCAGCUCCUGCUGGGAUCAGGUGGGAAGUGCUGGGUGGGGUGAGUGAGCCCGGGUCACUCUGUUAUUACAAGCCCCGCCCGAGAAGCCUGGCUUCCCGUCUGACCUCCGAUCGUGCUAGCACAGGGCUCCGUCAACGUGAAAUGUGCAAAUGAUUUGGCGUCCCCCCUCCCUUGCUUUUCUUUGCAGGAAACAGAGAAGCAAAGAAGUUAGCAAGCUUGUUUUGGCAGAAGAAAAAACACAAAAUACCCAACCACAGAUCCUCAAAAAUAUUGCUAAGCACUAAUUUUGCUAACAUGUUAGACAGCCUUCGGAUCUAGGCAAUCUUGUUCCUCAGCUGGAAAGAGUUCCUGCCAGCCAUGUGAUUCCAAAUCCACCCUGGACAUAUGGGGAUAAUGAGAAAAUCAGCUCCGGCCUUCCCUGGCCUUCCAGCCAAGUGAAUGGGGGCAUCCCCUGGUGCUUCAGCCCGGGGCCCACCCAGAGGAUGCUAGCUGGCCUGCAGAGGCCUCAACCAUGCCCUCCUGGACUCAGGUAAGACUGAGGUUUCCAUGCCCUCAAAACAAUUGUUCAGACAAAAACUCACUGCCCAGGUCAAAGUCACAGCACCAGAAAGCCAACCUGAGGAUGAAGACAAAGCUCUUUGUUGGCACAGUCCCCUGAUCAUUCGAGGUCAGCAUCUCCAUCAAAAUGGACCCAAUGCUGAGGCAAGAAGGAGAACAUCACUGUUAAGAAGGUAAUGAGUCACAAAUGCUAUUUCGAUGGUUUUCUUUGAAAGAAAUACACAGAACCAAACCAAUUUUAAUUAAAGAUCUUGUCUUUGUAAUCAGGCAGCCACAAAUGAAGGCAAAACUGCUUUCAUGUGGCAUAAUAUACACAGAGCUGAACUAGUUUUCCCAUAAAAGGGCAGGUUCUUUUCUUCAAAUAAGAAAAGAGUUUGUUCCUAACAAUAUGGGGGAUGCAACAGAAAGCUGUCUUUUGCAAAGUAUAAAAUUGCAGAUCCUCCCGUGGAAGCCAUUUCUUGAUGCUAAACCAAUGCGAACGUUUGCCAAACGCACAUGCGAGCCGGGAUUAUCCUACCCUUUGAGAUUAGACAUGUGAUCCUGAUUUUUAAGUGAAAAACGCAGCCAGAGGCCAAAUAAACAUACCUACAAGUACAUCGAAAGCUCAAAUGGUUGAGAAAUGAUUGUAACACACCCCGGUGUGUAUUUCUGAGGAAGAAUCAACAUGCACAUGGAAAUUGAUGUUUUGAUUUUUAAUUUUAAAACGACGACAGAACUGAAAUACCUCCCCUAACUAGGUCCACUGAAACCAGUGAGGAGAUAAUCAUUUUCAGUUAAAUAUGCAUGUAAUUUAAUAAUCCACAGAUGGAAAAUGCAUUUGAGGUGGACUGAACACAGCCAGGAGUUUUUGCUUAUCGACAGCACUGAAUCCUGCCUUGACUAGAGAGACUCGUCAUGUGAUCAACUGUGGCCAGAGGGCAUCCUGCAGACAGCUCCUGUCACACCACACUGACCAGACUCUUAUGAGUAUUUAAGCAUCUUCAGGGAAGCGAUUGACUGUCUUAUAAUGGUCUUACAAGUACGGAACUUUAUUACCUGCUAAUAAUCAGAGCACAUGAUGGCACAAUAGAAUAUACGAGUGAAGUUCUAAAUGCAAGGUUGUUCUUAUUCUGUGAGUGGCAAAACUCAUGCAGUGAGCAGAUAAAGCUGGCAGGAGGCAUUGGCGCCCUAAUGCUGGGCACUAACCACCUGCCCGGACUGCGAAUAUCUGUUGGGUCCUUUCUAUAUCUGGUCUAUUCUCGUGUUUGAUUAUAUCCUGGUGGCAAGAAUAGCAAAAUCAACUCUCCUUCCUAUCCCAUGUGGAGAGGCAUGAUUUGAGUCAGAGAGCAUUAUCCUCUCUGCGUUAUCCAACCCCAUGUCCCAUGAUGCACUUUGUAGACAAGCAAGUGUCCCUGGUGGAGAAUCCACAGCCACACAUCCUCAUUGGUUGCAAGGAUCAGUGUCCAAUAUCUACUGCCAUGAUCAUUCUCAGUUUUACAUCCACAGAGCUUCAUAGAAUUCUAACACCACAGGUCCAAGUAGAGGUUUUGGCCUCAGAGUGGGCUAGAUUCCACCUCUGACAGCAGCUGUGGGACUGUUUUUCCAUCUGUAAAAUGGAGACAAGAGUAUCACCUACCUCAUGGUGUUGGUGGGAUCGUUAAACAGAAUUCCGAUCAUGAAACCCUUAGCCUGCUCCCUGCAUAGGCUGCAUGCGCUCAGUGAGCUAUGGCUCUGUUUCAUGCUGACUUUACCAUCAUGUAAGCAGUUUUAAAAAUGCUAGAAGCUUUAGUCAUAGAAUUACCAUAUGAUACAGCCUACUGCAGAGUCCAGAGGCUGAGGCAGGAGAGUUACUUGAACCUGGGAGGCGGAGGUUGCAGUGAGCCAAGAUCGCGCCACUGCACUCCAGCCUGGGCAACAGAGUGAGAUUCUGUCUCAACACAAAAAAGAAGACAUGUGUCCCCAUCACAGUAUCAUACAGAGUGCUUCCACUGCCCUAAAAUACCCUGUGCUCUUCCUAUUCAUCCCUCUCUUCAACCCCAGCAACCACUGAUCCUUUUACCAUCUCCAUGGUUUUGCCUUUCCCAGAAUGUCAUAUUGUUGGAAUCAUACGCUAUGUAGCCUUUGCAAAUGGGCUUCUUUCACCGAGCAAUGUGCAUUGAAGGUGCCUCUAUGACUUUUCAAGGGUUGAUAGCUCAUUCCUUUUUAUUGCUAAAUAAUAUUCCAUUGUCUGAAUGUACCACAUUUUGUUUAUCCAUUCACCUACUAAAGGACAUCUUGGUUGCUUCCAAGUUUGGGCAAUUAUAAAUAAAACUG